UACGUAGGGUGCAAGCGUUGUCCGGAAUUAUUGGGCGUAAAGAGCUCGUAGGCGGUUUGUCGCGUCUGCUGUGAAAACUCAGGGCUUAACUCUGAGCUUGCAGUGGGUACGGGCAGACUAGAGUGCGGUAGGGGAGACUGGAAUUCCUGGUGUAGCGGUGAAAUGCGCAGAUAUCAGGAGGAACACCGGUGGCGAAGGCGGGUCUCUGGGCCGUAACUGACGCUGAGGAGCGAAAGCAUGGGGAGCGAACAGG
rnacentral:rRNA from 1 species